rnacentral:rRNA from 1 species
UCGCGAGAAGUCCAUUGAACCUUAUCAUUUANAGGAAGGAGAAGUCGUAACAAGGUUUCCGUAGGUGAACCUGCGGAAGGAUCAUUG